UAAAAGUCGUAACAAGGUUUCCGUAGGUGAACCUGCGGAAGGAUC
rnacentral:rRNA from 1 species